AUUGAACGCUGGCGGCAGGCCUAACACAUGCAAGUCGAGCGGAUGAAGGGAGCUUGCUCCUGGAUUCAGCGGCGGACGGGUGAGUAAUGCCUAGGAAUCUGCCUGGUAGUGGGGGAUAACGUCCGGAAACGGGCGCUAAUACCGCAUACGUCCUGAGGGAGAAAGUGGGGGAUCUUCGGACCUCACGCUAUCAGAUGAGCCUAGGUCGGAUUAGCUAGUUGGUGGGGUAAAGGCCUACCAAGGCGACGAUCCGUAACUGGUCUGAGAGGAUGAUCAGUCGCACUGGAGCUGGGACACGGUCCAGGCUCCUACGAGAGGCAGCAGAAGGGAAUGUUGGACAGUGGGCGAAAGCCUGGUCCAGCCAGGCCGCGUGUGUGAAAAAGGUCUUCGGAUUGUAAAGCACUUUAUGUGGGGGGGAAGGGCAGUAAGUUAAUACGUUGCUGUUUUGACGUUACCAAGAAAAUAAGCACCGGCUAACUUCGUG
rnacentral:rRNA from 1 species